rnacentral:miRNA from 12 species
CAAAGCAUAUGGAUUCUUGAGC